AUUCAAGCUUUCUGGGGCUUCUGGCUGGAUUUCUUGGGGCACAAUCCCCACUGAGCCUUGGGGAUAAUAACUCAAAGACAGGGUGCCCAAGGCCACCAGGCUCAAGACUUCAGGUGCUGGCAGAGCCCUGGACCAGCUCCUGGCUCUGUUUCCCUUCCAAAACCAGAGCCUCAAGGUCACCUCUGAGCUGCCUUCCAGCACACAGAAGUCUUCCUUCAUCUACCGAAGACUGACGGCAGCAGAUGUGGAGUGCACAGGCAGAGCACUGAUCUGGUGGCCCUCAUUAGGAGCACAACACUAACCCAGAACCAGAUAAUAAAGAGGCAGCUGGAGAGCUCAGGUGGGAGAGGCCACAGCAGAGAGGGAUGAAAAGGUGACGAAGGAGUGAAGGGCAUGUAGGCAGUCAAGACAGAAACACUCCAGGCUAUGCUUGGCGAUGGCUCCUGUCGGCUCCACAAAAAGAUCCUCUCCCCGUAGAAAGGCCAAUCAUCCAUUGCCCAGACAGGAGCAAGAGCUGGAGCUUAAAUCUCUACAGAUAACUUGGAUGUGGGGAUCUUGGGAGAGUACUUGAAUGUCAACCCACCCUGGGAGGACAUGGUGGUUAA
rnacentral:lncRNA from 1 species